CCACGUCGUCUGCUGUUUAAAGUAGGGGAGCUUCUACGAAACGAUUGGAGCCAUUUCCAAGUUUGCCUUAGACCAUCGAAAGGAAGCUUAAAAAAGUGUGGAUUCUGUCUAAUAUGCGAGUAACAGGAGGAUGAUCUGAGGAUCGUGCUACAACACCAUCAGCCUAUCGAAGAAACAAAUUGGAAGAUCAAGGAAAGAGACUGGGAAGAAGACAACUCAAUACACACCGCGGUAGAGGAAAGCAGAUCGACUUCAACAAAGAAGAGCAGAUUGUCUUAACUAUGGCGAGACUAUGGGUUCCACUUGCCAACGGAAGCGUAUCGAAUUGGUGACGACUUGCUGCGGAAGUUAUCUAGGGGGAGCAGACCGAGGGAUGCGAUUCCGAUGCCUUUUGAAUUUUCCCUAUUUCCGUCUCUACUAGAAAUUUUCCCUCUCCUUCUUUAUGAACGGUGAUGCAGAGUGCAAUAACACAAGAUUAGAUGGAUUCUUGUUGAAUGGCCACGGUAUUCCAAGUUGCUCUGUGAAAUUUAUCGGAUAGACCUCUUUUACCUCUCUUAA